AUACGGAGGAUGCGAGCGUUAUCCGGAUUUAUUGGGUUUAAAGGGUGCGUAGGCGGGCUGGUAAGUCAGCGGUGAAACGCAGGUGCUCAACACCUGACCUGCCGUUGAAACUGCCGGUCUUGAAUGCGGAUGCUGUGGGAGGAAUGUGUGGUGUAGCGGUGAAAUGCAUAGAUAUCACACAGAACACCGAUUGCGAAGGCAUCUCACAAAUCCGUGAUUGACGCUGAGGCACGAAAGUGCGGGGAUCGAACAGGAUUAGAUACCCUGGUAGUCCGCACUGUAAACGAUGAUGACUCGCUGUCGGCGAUAGACAGUCGGUGGCCAAGCGAAAGCGAUAAGUCAUCCACCUGGGGAGUACGACCGCAAGGUUGAAACUCAAAUGAAUUGGCGGGG
rnacentral:rRNA from 1 species